rnacentral:rRNA from 1 species
AUACAGAGGGUGCGAGCGUUAAUCGGAUUUACUGGGCGUAAAGCGUGCGUAGGCGGCUGAUUAAGUCGGAUGUGAAAUCCCUGAGCUUAACUUAGGAAUUGCAUUCGAUACUGGUCAGCUAGAGUAUGGGAGAGGAUGGUAGAAUUCCAGGUGUAGCGGUGAAAUGCGUAGAGAUCUGGAGGAAUACCGAUGGCGAAGGCAGCCAUCUGGCCUAAUACUGACGCUGAGGUACGAAAGCAUGGGGAGCAAACAGGAUUAGAUACCCUGGUAGUCCAUGCCGUAAACGAUGUCUACUAGCCGUUGGGGCCUUUGAGGCUUUAGUGGCGCAGCUAACGCGAUAAGUAGACCGCCUGGGGAGUACGGUCGCAAGACUAAAACUCAAAUGAAUUGACGGGG